GUCCACGCCCUAAACCAUGUCAACUAGACGUUGGGCUCAUUAAUGAGCUUAGUGUCGUAGCUAACGCGUUAAGUUGACCGCCUGGGGAGUACGGCCGCAAGGUUGAAACUCAAAGGAAUUGACGGGGCCCGCACAAGCGGUGGAGCAUGUGGUUUAAUUCGAUGCAACGCGAAGAACCUUACCAGCCCUUGACAUCCUGGGAACUUUGUAGAGAUACAUUGGUGCCUUCGGGAAUCCAGUGACAGGUGCUGCAUGGCUGUCGU
rnacentral:rRNA from 1 species